GAGAAUAUUCUUAACAAGUAAUAAUGGCUCUACCCACCGUCCCUAAAGCAAGUGGCAAAAAAUUUUGUGGUUGAUAUCCGAGGUCCCAAAUUCGAAUCCUAGUUGAUUCACAUUUUCAGCUAAAUUUAUUUCUAAAUGAAAUAAACUAAGCAGGUAAUAUACUACCGACCGUCCCUAGAGCAAGUGGUAAAGGGCUUGGUGGUUAGUACCCGAGACCCAAGUUCGAAUCCUAGUUGAUUCACAUUUCUAGCUAAGCUUAUUUCUAAAUGAAAUAAACCUAUCUCUCAAAAAAAUAAUAAUAAUGGCUCUUUUCUAAAAUAAAAUUUUAAUAAAUUAUUUCGUGC
rnacentral:lncRNA from 1 species